UCUGCUACGGACCCUUAUCAUUCUCUUGUCCAGUGUUUUGUUUUUGAGGCCAACUGGACGGAGAACUGAUAAGGGCCUGUGGGUCA
rfam:Rhodnius prolixus Rhodnius_prolixus-3.0.3-1.131, whole genome shotgun sequence.